CCUAUCUUUCAGAAAGACAUCCACUCUCAAUUUGAAGACUUCAAGUGAGAGAGAAUCCACCACCUCUUGUGGUAGUUUGUUCCAAUGGUUAAUCACCCUGACUGUUAAAAAUGUGCCAUAUUUCUAGUUCCAAGCUUGGCUCUGACAUCAACCCCCUCUGUAGUCUCAAGAAAGUCAUUUAACCUCUUUGGCCUUGAUUUUCCCACCUGGAAUAAGAACACUUGCCCACCUAUCUCACAGGAGUACGAAUCCCUGUCAGCAUGAUACGUUUGGCUGAUUCAGCAUGCUCUAUGGCCUGUGCAGGAAGACCUAGGAGAAGACAAUGAAUGAGCUUGCUAACAAAAACAUCGUCAGCAACUUCAAACUGAAAAUAAGACCUGAACUAUGAGAUUCUCUGAAGAGAUUCAGUUUAGACAAGGAUGAAACUCUAGCUCUACUAAAGCCAAAAGGAAGCUGUGCCAUUAACUUUAUGAGGUCCAGGAUUUCAUACCAGAUGUAUAGGAAAACAAUUAGGAGAAUUUCAGGGGGGAAAAUAAUCCCUUAAAGAUAUUUAACAGAUAUAAUCAAUAGCCUUCAGAACAAUUAUGCAGAUGACGAUGUUACAUGUAGGGAAAAUAGGCAGAUGAAGGGACCCAGCAGAGUCACAGAUGGUACAACAUUCCCCAGGUGAAACACCUUUUAAGAGAGUAAGCUUCUGUUUAAUCCUUAGUCCUAAUGCAUCCCUCUUCCCACGCACCAUACAAUGAAGACAGGUAUGUCCAAACCAGCACAGCCCCACUUUCCCUCCCCUUGGGUUGGGUGCAGGACCUUCAGGCAGAAAACAACUGCCUGUUAUAUAUAAAAUUAUGCAGCAGCCAGGAAAGCAAAGUAGUUUUGAGUAUAGUAUUUGCAUAUAGCAGUUUCCAGAUUCCAUUUCUGUGGGACUGUGGUUUAUAAGUGCCAUAUUCAAGUCUGGGAAAACAUAUCAAUAUACCCAAAAGCAAAUCCUCAGCUGAGCUGGAAACAGUUGACCAUAAUCCCAUUUCAGGGAUCUUUGCCACCAAUUUUCUCUUUCCACAUAUCUUCUUUUUCACCAUCAGCAAAGAAGAGUAACCAGGAUAAAAUAGAUCCAUUGCAAGAUGUCUUUCCCUACUUCUUCACAGACUUUUCUUUUGACUACUUAUCUCUAUAGCGAGCACACAUAGGCCCAGGUUUUUAAAGAUAUUUACAUGUUGCUGUGCUCAGUGUGACAUUGGCUCCUAAAUCCCUUUUGAAAAUUAGAUCUAGGCUCCUAAAUGAGUUAAUCAUUGCAAUGCUGAGCUCAGCAAUGCCUAAAUACCUUUAAAAAUCUGGGUCAUAGUGCUUUAUACAGGCAAUGCACAGAAACAUAGAAAUAGAAGAAUUCCUAUCCUGGGUCAGACCAGUGGUUCAUCUAGGACCAUAUCAGCUGCUUUAGAGAAAGAUUAAAACCUCUAAAGUACACAAUUAUGAAACAACCUGGACAUAGGAGAAGUUUCUUCCUAACCUCGAUCAAUUAGUGGCUGGCUUAUGACGGUACAAAGAUUAUUUUAAAAGUUAACGGUAGUGUAAUUGGGGACAGUCUCAUUAUCCAUACAAAUGUCUAAUCCUUUUUUUGAGUCCCACUAAACUCUUGCCUUCUAUUAUAUCGGGUGGCAAUGAGUUCCACAGCUUAAUUAUGUGAUGUAAAAAGUGUUUUCUUGCAUCAGUUUAAAUUUUGUUGCGUUUCAAUUUCAUUAAAUGUCCCCUAGUUUUGGUUUUCGGAGAAGGAACUACUUCUAUUUCUAUUAUCUCCUUUUUCAGAUGGGGUGACCAGUACUGAACACAAUAUUCCAGCUCAUGGAGUAGACAAGACGACACAACAUACGGACACAACAUGAUUUCAGUUCUUCUUCUGGAAGGUGCCUAUCAUUAUGAUAUUUCCUACCAAAGAGCUGAAGUUAACUCUCAAACCUUGUUUUGAAACUCAGUGUCCAUCCUACUAAUACAGUAGGUUUCCAUCCUACUAAUAGCGAAGCUUUCAGUUGAUUCUGAGGAACCAUCUUCAAAGCCACAUGCACAUCACUACUUAGUGGCCACCGUCCAGUCUAUACGCCAUGCCUUGAUGCUGAAUGUGCUAAACUACUCAGUGCAAAUCCUCUGGUGAUCCACAUAUUGCUUAGGCAUCCAAGCAUCAUUCCAAGAACUUGAAGACACCCUACAUGUUGAUUUGAUUAAGAUGGCUGAAUACUGUAGUCAGUGGCAUUUACAAUAAGUGUGACCAAGACAGUUUCCAGUGUGUUCCAUCUUUACGAAACCAGAGCAGACCAAGAACUGAAUCUUGCUCUCAAUGGACAUUGCUUGAAACACAGAUUCCCACCCAGUCUAUCUCAGAGUAACCCUAAAUAGAUCUUGCAUGUAUGUUAACCACCUGAGGAAAACUGCGGCCAAGGUGAAGAAUUCUAAACAAACUGGCCAGCACUUCAUGGGGAAUAAACGCUCAAACUCUCCAAUCAUCGGUUUAGCCCUCUGUUAAUCGGCAGCAGAAUAAUGUGCUCCGGUCUGGGUCCAUUCAUCUCACAUCAAGUUGGUUUACACAUAACUACACUGAACCCUCCACAUUGAAACUGGGACGAUUCGACCCACACCAGUUCCGUGGCUCCCUGUGUUAAGCAGCAUCACUCCUCCACACAUCCAUCAUGAGGAUGCUACAGCCAGAAUGACUGAGAAGAUCUGGGCAAGCCUGAGCCUGCCACUAUACACAGAACUCUUUGACUACCAACGCUUGUCGCUGAGGCACCCAUUGUGGGCCGCUUGCCCUGUCCAGAUUUCUCUGUGACAUUGAUAUGAGGUGAAGAAUGACAUCAGAAACGUCUCUUAUAAUUGACCAGACUAUGUGUGUACCUGGCUUUGAUUUGCCAAACUGCUCAGGGGCCCUUCUGAACCGAUUUUGAAUGGGCUAGGGUCCAUGUGCAGACAGCCUUCACUCCACAGGCAGCUGUGGUCAAAGACAGCCAAUGUCACGCAUCACGGACGACUGCCCUCUGACCAGAUUUGAUGGUGGACUGAGGGCUCUGCGCUUCGCUGAUGAAGCUGCCGCAAAUUGGGUUGGCAAGCUCUGCCAUCCAUAAAGAAGUCCUGAUUUAUGCAAUGAGUAUGCUAUUCCCAACUAUAAGACACAGAUAUGAACGGACAGCUCUCUUACUAACCACCAAUCCUCAGCCAAAUUCUGCUCUCACAUUUAUACUUGUGAAACCACUGACUCAGCUUUGGCUCCAAUAAACUUACAUCAGGGAUGAAUUUAGCUCACUGAUCUCUAGUAUUGGGGAAAAAAUGAACUAUUAUGCACUCUGAGGCGAAAAUGUGCAUGGACCCUUCUACUGAUACGAGAAUUCUGCUUCUGACACCAUCAUUGCCCUUCUGUCUAGUAGUAGCAGAUGUUGCGGGCCUUGCAGGUCAGCUUCGCACUGAAGGAGAAAUCAGUGAUGCAUAUUCUGAGUAUCUCCUAGAUAUAACUUGCUUUAUUACACAAAUACACCAGUCCUGGAAAAGAGAACGCUACAAACAGCACCCAGGCAAUCUCUUCUUCCAGAAGACUCAGACAGGCGUUCCCAGGACGUUACUUUGUCUCCAGAAUUUUUUCCAAAUAUAGAAAAUAAAGCAGACUGCAAACUCUGUUAUCUGCCAGAGAUUCUCUCCAAGGCCAGCUUCAUAACAAAAGUAACACCAUCACAACAUUUCUUCAUAAAGUAAAAACUUGCUUACACGGUAAAAAGAACUUGUAAGAUUCUGUGUAACAUCACCAUCCGGUGAAUCCUACCAUAACAUGUGCUUUCAUUAUUAAUGGAGCAGUCCUGCAGACACACAUGCAUGAACUGUAUGACUUGGCUGCUGCCUACAACAGAAAUUCCCCACUUGGGAAAAAGAUGAUCGAAACAUCAGCUUUACUGCAAUUAAAAUAAAGUAAUGCAACAGCUGAACAGCAAACCUACUACCCCUUUGUAUGGGUCAUUUAAAAAUUAUGCAGUGGGACCUUGUGAUCUGUUAAACGUGGCCUUGAGAUACUUCACUUCCUGCAGAAGAAAUAACUUCACUGCGGGCUGCAUGACACAGUAUUUGUAACAGGGAGAGAACCUCUGACCUCAUGGUUAUUGGCUUGAGUCAGCCUAAACUGACAGUCACCCAAAAUCAUGACCAUCCCAUGACUUAUAGGUAGCCUAUGUGAAAUCAAUGAGUCAUUCAAUCCACUUCCUACCAGACAGAGUGCCUAUUGUGGCAGUACAGUCACAGUUUGCCACUAGUGCUACUAGUUUGUGCAGUCUUGACCAAGAGCCAAAGACUAACCUUAACUAUUGUUAUCCCUCCCUCAUAGUCAGGGCUGCAACACACAAGGAAGCUGGAACUUCUGCUUCCCGUCACCUGUUAUGUUAUUAUUUGUAUUACAGUAGCACCUAAGCCUGAAAUCAACCAGCGUUGGGUGCCUAAGUACAGUACCUUUGAGGAUCUAGACUUAGAGACUGCAACUGAUGCCAAGGCUGCAUUGUGCUAUGUACUGAACACACGAGAUAAUCGCUACCCAAAGAGUUUACAAUCUAAAUGGACAAGACAGACAAAGGCAGUUUUAUUAUUCCCACUUCACUGACAGGGAACUGAGAUUAAGUGAGAUGAAAUGACUUUCCCAAGGCCACAAAGAGUUUGUGGCAGUGCUUGGAAUUGACCCCAGAUCUCGAGUCCCAGUCUUGUGCAUUAACCACAUGAGGCCAGCUAUCCUUUUAUAUUGAUAAAUCAUUAUAGAAUUUCAGUUCUCAGUACUAUCAAUCUGACACUUUUCCAAGUAACCUCACUGCUUCCACUCUCACACUGUUGGUGAUAAUGCUGAGGAGUUUCAAACAGAAAUGAAUAAACAGAGGAUUUUUAAAAAGCAACAUAAGCAAAAGGCCCAGGUCCAAUUCCUGUUACCUCUUUU